rnacentral:lncRNA from 1 species
AGGAAGAAAAAUUGAAGAAUUUGAUGGAAAUUUGGGUUGGAGAGGAGGGAAAAUGAGUUUCCCUAAUAAUGGAGAUGAAAAGAGGUCAGUUAAGGAUGAAGAGAUUCAUUUUAUAGAAAAUUGAAUAGGUAAAAUAAGCCAACAGAUCAAAAUAAGCUAACCACUAAAUGGAUGAUAGAUCAAUGAGACAGUCUACACUCGACGUAGCGGACCAUUCCCAGGCAAGAUUAUCUUUCGCCAGUUUCUUUUCCCUCAUUCACUUUAAAUUCAAAUCUUAUCCACAACAAA